GGAACUUUUGGGCGGAAGCACACCUACAAAAAGGGCGGAAGUGGUUUACAUUAUUAGUCACGGAUGAGGAGGCCGCCAUGGAACCGGGUUCUGUUGUGAUCGAAACUAACACGCAGGAGAAAUGUGAACCUGCUUCAGAUGUGCUGGAAUCCGACAGUGGAGUUUACACACGGUUCAUGAAGAAUCGCAAAUGCUACGAUCUCAUUCCCAUCAGCUCAAAGCUUGUUGUUUUGAUACCUCCCUUCAGGUGAAGAAAGCAUUC